AUGACAAAAAUUACUACAAUUACAAUCCUUUGAAUGACAUACAUUUUAAAGCAGGUGACACACAAUCAAGCAUAAGGAAACUUCUGCAAGGCGUAUUAACGAAGAUAAAGCGGAUAAAUUAUUCUUCAACAAAUUCAGACUAGAAAUAACAGUCAGGAAAAUAUUUACAUCAUGUGGAAGACACUUGUUAUUGUAGCAUAUCUACUGAUAAUCAACGCUACAUCAGCCAGCGCAGCAGUGUGUGGCAACAGAUGGUACGAUAUCAAUGUCAAAACCUGCUGUGCUGGUGUGCUAAAUAAUGGGGCAAGAAAAUUAUGUUGCGGGACCAAAGCUUAUUCUGAUAGUUUACAAACGUGUUGUGCUGGUGUGCUAAAUAAUGGGGCAAGAAAAUUAUGUUGCGGGACCAAAGCUUAUUCUGAUAAUUUCCAAACGUGUUGUGCUGGUGUGCUAAAUAAUGGGGCAAGAAAAUUAUGUUGCGGGACCAAAGCUUAUUCCGAUAAUUUCCAAACGUGUUGUGCUGGUGUGCUAAAUAAUGGGGCAAGAAAAUUAUGUUGCGGGACCAAAGCUUAUUCUGAUAGUUUACAAACGUGUUGUGCUGGUGUGCUAAAUAA